UACGUAGGGGGCUAGCGUUGUCCGGAAUCAUUGGGCGUAAAGCGCGCGUAGGCGGCCAGAUAAGUCCGGUGUGAAAGUCACAGGCUCAACCUGUGAAUCGCCGCUGGAAACUGUCUGGCUCGAGUCCGGGAGGGGCGAGUGGAAUUCCUGGUGUAGCGGUGAAAUGCGCAGAUAUCAGGAGGAACACCGGUGGUGUAGACGG
rnacentral:rRNA from 1 species